rnacentral:tRNA from 1 species
AAAGGGAGACCUAAUUCAGGUAGGAGACGAAAAAAAAGUAGUCCCUACCAAGAGUCAAUCCCAAAAGGUCGGAACGAGGUAUGAGGCUUUCAAACUAGGUUCUGGGUUCAUAAAAGACCUGAAUCAGGAACAAGGGCUAUUAGCUCAGGUGGUUAGAGCGCACCCCUGAUAAGGGUGAGGUCCCUGGUUCGAGUCCAGGAUGGCCCACCUGCACAGGUGGCAAAAACAAGAGAAGCGAGGAAUCAGCACCUUAUCUUAUAUACAUAUAUAAGAGAGAAUGCUGGCUCUGAGUACAGAGUCCAGAGGAACCUUGAAAACUGCAUAGAGCUAGGUGAAAAAGCCAAAAAAGAAGACCGCAAG